rnacentral:rRNA from 1 species
GACGAACGCUGGCGGCGUGCCUAAUACAUGCAAGUCGAGCGCAGGAAACUGACGGAACUCUUCGGAGGGAAGGCAGUGGAAUGAGCGGCGGACGGGUGAGUAACACGUAAGGAACCUGCCUCAAGGAUUGGGAUAACUCCGAGAAAUCGGAGCUGAUACCGGAUAGUUCAACGGACCGCAUGGUCCGCUGAUGAAAGGCGCUCCGGCGUCACCUUGAGAUGGCCUUGCGGUGCAUUAGCUAGUUGGUGGGGUAACGGCCCACCAAGGCGACGAUGCAUAGCCGACCUGAGAGGGUGAUCGGCCACACUGGGACUGAGACACGGCCCAGACUCCUACGGGAGGCAGCAGUAGGGAAUCUUCCACAAUGGACGAAAGUCUGAUGGAGCAACGCCGCGUGAGUGAUGAAGGUUUCCGGAUCGUAAAACUCUGUUGUAAGGGAAGAACACGUACGAGAGGAAAUGCUCGUACCUUGACGGUACCUUACGAGAAAGCCACGGCUAACUACGUGCCAGCCGCCGCCGUAACAC